rnacentral:rRNA from 1 species
GACGAACGCUGGCGGCGUGCCUAAUACAUGCAAGUCGAGCGGACGGAUGGGAGCUUGCUCCCUGAAGUCAGCGGCGGACGGGUGAGUAACACGUGGGCAACCUGCCUGUAAGACUGGGAUAACUUCGGGAAACCGGAGCUAAUACCGGAUACGUUCUUCUCUCGCAUGAGGGAAGAUGGAAAGAUGGUUUCGGCUAUCACUUACAGAUGGGCCCGCGGCGCAUUAGCUAGUUGGUGGGGUAAUGGCCCACCAAGGCGACGAUGCGUAGCCGACCUGAGAGGGUGAUCGGCCACACUGGGACUGAGACACGGCCCAGAUUCCUACGGGAGGCAGCAGUAGGGAAUCUUCCGCAAUGGACGAAAGUCUGACGGAGCAACGCCGCGUGAACGAUGAAGGCCUUAGGGUCGUAAAGUUCUGUUGUUAGGGAAGAACAAGUACCAGAGUAACUGCUGGUACCUUGACGGUACCUAACCAGAAAGCCACGGCUAACUAC